GACGAACGCUGGCGGCGUGCCUAAUACAUGCAAGUAGAACGCACAGUUUAUACCGUAGCUUGCUACACCAUAGACUGUGAGUUGCGAACGGGUGAGUAACGCGUAGGUAACCUGCCUGGUAGCGGGGGAUAACUAUUGGAAACGAUAGCUAAUACCGCAUAAUAUUAAUUAUUGCAUGAUAAUUAAUUGAAAGGUGCAAUUGCACCACUACCAGAUGGACCUGCGUUGUAUUAGCUAGUAGGUGAGGUAACGGCUCACCUAGGCGACGAUACAUAGCCGACCUGAGAGGGUGAUCGGCCACACUGGGACUGAGACACGGCCCAGACUCCUACGGGAGGCAGCAGGAGGGAAUCUUCGGCAAUGGACGAAAGUCUGACCGAGCAACGCCGCGGGAGUGAAGAAGGUUUUCGGAUCGUAAAGCUCUGUUGUAAGAGAAGAACGGGUGUGAGAGUGGAAAGUUCACACUGUGACGGUAGCUUACCAGAAAGGGACGGCUAACUACGUG
rnacentral:rRNA from 1 species